AUAAAAAACAUGGUCUUUUGUGUAUAUAAAAGAUCUGGCCUGCCCUAUGAUUUAUUUAAAUGGCUGCAGUAUUUUGACUGUACAAAGGUAGCAUAAUCAUUUGUCUUUUAAUUGAAGGCUUGUAUGAAUGGUUAGAUGAAAAAUAUACUUUCUUUAUUUUAUAUAAAAAAUUUAAUUUUUUAGUCAAAAAGCUAAAAUUUUUUUAUAGGACGAGAAGACCCUAUAGAACUUUAUUUUUCUUUUAUAUAAAUUUUUUAGAUUAAUAUAAGUUUAUAUAUUUAUAUUAAUUUUGUUGGGGUGAUUGAAAAAAUCUUUUAACUUUUUCUAUUUUAUACAUUUAUUUAUGUUAUUUUGAUCCUUUAUUAUGGAAAAUAAGAUUAAGUUACCUUAGGGAUAACAGCGUUAUUUUUUUGGAGAGUUCUUAUCGAUAGAAAAGUUUGCGACCUCGAUGUUGGAUUAAAAUAAGUGAUAGAAGUAGAAUAUUAUUUACUAGGUCUGUUCGACCUUUAAAUUUUUACAUGAUCGUUUUCCCCCCCCGGGACCCCCGA
rnacentral:rRNA from 1 species